CAACUCUCCUGUAUCGCUGAUUACAAACACCGUCGGUGAUACGCUAUCAACAGCCAAAAUGUGGCCUUCGCUAGUCACAGCUAGGCCAGCUACAAUAUCGAUGUAACGAAUUGCUAUUUUCUUGAUAAAAUGACCACUUUUUGGUACCAUAAUUGGCCCUCCUCCUUACCAGGAACACCAAAUUGGAAUUUGAAUAUGCCAGUCUUAUCAAAUAUCUAAAAAUAGAUUUCGAAUAUUAAUACGAGCAGAGAAUUUAAAUUGGCUAAUUUUCAAAUAUUGAAAAAAGUACCUGAAUUCUGUGAUUAUUCGUGUCGGCAACAAUAAUAUCUUCAUCAGCACUUAAACAAAAACCGUGAGAACCGGAACCAGUUACAUUGCCAACUGUAUUUCCCACUACUACAGGCAUGUUAUGCAUGGAGUCUCCUCUUAAAUCAUCUACAAGAAAUAUCGAUAUGUAAUCAAACCGUUUUGACUUAUUUGAAAUAUACAAUAGUCCAG